rnacentral:rRNA from 1 species
CCUACGUGAGGCAGCAGUGAGGAAUAUUGGUCAAUGGGCGCGAGCCUGAACCAGCCAAGUCGCGUGAGGGAAGACGGCCCUACGGGUUGUAAACCUCUUUUGCCGGGGAGCAACGGGCGCCACGUGUGGCGCCACUGAGAGUACCCGGAGAAAAAGCAUCGGCUAACUCCGUGCCAGCAUCCGCGGUAAUACGGAGGAUGCGAGCGUUAUCCGAAUUUAUUGGUUUUAAAGGGUGCGUAGGCGGAGCGUUAAGUCAGUGGUCAAAUUGAGGGGCUCAACCCGUUCCCGCCAUUGAAACUGGCGCUCUUGAGGGGAAGAGAAGUAGGCGGAAUGCGUGGUGUAGCGGUGAAAUGCAUAGAUAGCACGCAGAACCUCGAUUGCGAAGGCAGCAUGCCGGCUUCCUACUGACGCUGAAGCACGAAAGCGUGGGGAUCGAACAGGAUUAGAUACCCCUGUAGUC